rnacentral:tRNA from 2 species
GAGAGAGGCCCGCCGCAAUGGAGGCUGCUAACCUUCAUCUCUUUGGUUGAAUUCCAGAGCUCACUCG